rnacentral:rRNA from 1 species
AUCCCAUCAGAACUCCGCAGUUAAGCGUGCUUGGGCGAGAGUAGUACUAGGAUGGGUGUCCUCUUGGGAAGUCCUCGUGUUGCACCUC